rnacentral:rRNA from 1 species
UACGUAGGGGGCAAGCGUUGUCCGGAUUUAUUGGGCGUAAAGAGCUCGUAGGUGGUUCGGUAAGUCGGAUGUGAAAUCUCCAGGCUCAACCUGGAGGGGUCAUUCGAUACUGCCGUGACUAGAGGUCGGUAGGGGAGUGUGGAAUUCCUGGUGGAGCGGUGAAAGGCGCAGAUAUCAGGAGGAACACCCGUAGCGAAGGCGGCACUCUGGGCCGAUACUGACACUGAGGAGCGAAAGCGUGGGGAGCGAACAGG